UGGGGAAUUUUGGACAAUGGGGGCAACCCUGAUCCAGCAAUGCCGCGUGAGUGAAGAAGGCCUUCGGGUUGUAAAGCUCUUUUGUCAGGGAAGAAACGGUAGUAGCGAAUAACUAUUACUAAUGACGGUACCUGAAGAAUAAGCACCGGCUAACUACGUGCCAGCAGCCGCGGUAAUACGUAGGGUGCAAGCGUUAAUCGGAAUUACUGGGCGUAAAGCGUGCGCAGGCGGUUGUGUAAGUCAGAUGUGAAAUCCCCGGGCUCAACCUGGGAAUUGCAUUUGAGACCGCACGGCUAGAGUGUGUCAGAGGGGGGUAGAAUUCCACGUGUAGCAGUGAAAUGCGUAGAUAUGUGGAGGAACACCGAUGGCGAAGGCAGCCCCCUGGGUCAAGAUUGACGCUCAUGCACGAAAGCGUGGGGAGCAAACAGGAUUAGAUACCCCCGUAGUCCCUGAGCGGGCUGGCAAGGCGCAU
rnacentral:rRNA from 1 species